rnacentral:rRNA from 1 species
UACGAAGGGGGCUAGCGUUGCUCGGAAUCACUGGGCGUAAAGGGUGCGUAGGCGGGUUUCUAAGUCAGGGGUGAAAUCCUGGAGCUCAACUCCAGAACUGCCUUCGAAACUGAUAGUCUUGAGUUCGGGAGAGGUGAGUGGAACUGCGAGUGUAGAGGUGAAAUUCGUAGAUAUUCGCAAGAACACCAGUGGCGAAGGCGGCUCACUGGCCCGAUACUGACGCUGAGGUGCGAGAGCGUGGGGAGCAAACAGG